CAGAAAUAUUAAAAAAUGGCAGUUGUGCCCCGCUUAACACGUCGCUUGCAAGUUCCCAACUCAUAGUGAACACUUGUUGAUUGGAAAAAAAGAUUAGGUACUAGUGUCAAGGCCCUUCGCACAACGCCACGAGAAAUUACUUAGCAACACCAAAAUACGAGUCGUCUCAAGGUAUAAGCGAACAGUUCGUGAAACCUGUCGACAUUUCUCGACAUAUCCUGUCAACUUCACUUGACGGACGGACGUUACUCAUCCAGAAUUCCGUGCAGGAUGGAUCUAGUCACUCCUGGUGACAGAGAGCCUGUUCAACCACCGUCAAUUGACAACGUCUUUAUAAAAACGGCAAAGACAACCCACCUCGGACUGAUCGUCAAUGAUAGAUCGGGAAACAGAUUCAUUUCAUUUAAGGAAAAAGACGUAAAAUUUACAGCCAAAUUACCCCAACGAUGAAGGGUAUCUUGAACAGCUUCGAAAUUGAGUGAAAGAUUCAAAGCGAUAGCGCUCAACUGAUGACUAAUAGCCAGGAUGAAGAACGGAUGACAAACUAUGAAAUCAAACAAAUGAAUAACGUUACGGGAUGACGUGUUUCUUACCUGAUGUGGACGCAAAAUAGACUUGCUUGAUUUUAUUUUUUGUCUCCCUUCCUCGAGACUCGCAAAAAUUGGGACAAAUCACCUAGAUAAACGCCCCACCCCUACGGCAGCGAAUGUUGGCCAAACAAGGAGAAAUGGCUUAUUCCGUUCUGUGUCGCAAUCUACGAUUUAGACGAGUAACGUUAAAUUUAUUAAAAUAAAGAACACGCAAUCUUUCAGAGGACGUUUAAUAGCAUUUACAGCAAUUUUCCUGUUUACAGAAACCUAACCUAAGAGUACACUUUUUAUUGGAUGCCUACACACCACACUCGAAAUGCCAGUCUCUUACACAUUAUAUACUAGUUACUGGAUAUUUCAUUCACAGAACGUCGUGUUCCCCACACAAUAUGAAUAACUGCAAUAUAAUUAUCUAAUUAUUUUCAGAUGGAAACUGAUAAUUUCUUAGUCAUCUUCUUCAAUCUGACACUGCAAAGGCCCAUCAACACUAGAACGCCAACUGGAUUGAGGACAAUUUACUUUUGAACUUAAACAAUUGACAACUAGCUUUACCUGUGAUGUGUCUGACAGUGGGGACGAGAACAAUACGCCAUUACAACGAGCGAUUGCAAACUGGGAAGUCGACUAGGAUAAUAGACACACCACCCAUCCUAACAGUCGGAGCUAGGACAACUAAAUCGAAAGAACAGCUGAUGUCAAAUUUCUGUUCCAUAUUGCUUUGUCUGUUUUUUUGUCUCCCUUCCUCUGGAAAGCGAUGGGAUAGGUCACUUAAAUCAAUUCUUCGAAGAAGCGAAAGGAUUCGUCACUGAAAGAGAACGGGUUCGCAAUUUCGUUGCUGUGUACAAAUGAGUUAAAUAACGUUCAUGACGUUAUCUAAUCUUGUAGCAAUGAUGAAAGUUUUUCUACUAUAAUAUCAUGCCAUAAAUUAUUUCCAUCUUUUUGCAUGCUAAAUAAAGUCAUUGAUUGUGUCGCCACUUCA